GACGAACCGUGCGACCGUUGUUCGGAUUCACUGGGCUUAAAGGGCGCGUAGGCGGGCGACCAAGUCAGGGGUGAAAUCUUUCGGCCCAACCGGAAAAGUGCCCCUGAUACUGGCCGCCUCGAGGGGGGUAGGGGCAUGCGGAACUUCCGGUGGAGCGGUGAAAUGCGUAGAUAUCGGAAGGAACGCCGGUGGCGAAAGCGGCGUGCUGGACCCCUUCUGACGCUGAGGCGCGAAAGCCAGGGGAGCAAACGGG
rnacentral:rRNA from 1 species